AUGAUUACAGGGGGAGAGAUCGCUUAAGUGCGACGCCGAAGGAGCAAAUAAUAAAUAAUUAUGAAUCUCUCAGGCAAAAAGACUCUUGUAUGACG
rnacentral:ncRNA from 2 species